GUUCAUACUUUGGUAAUUGGAAUGAGAACAAUUUAAACCCCUUAACGAGUAACCAUCAGAGGGCAAGUCUGGUGCCAGCAGCCGCGGUAAUUCCAGCUCUGAUAGCGUAUAUUAAAGUUGUUGCAGUUAAAAAGCUCGUAGUUGGAUUUUAGAGUGUAUUGAUACGGUCUCUUGUGAUAAACUUGUUGUACUGUAUUAAUUACUCUUUCCUACUGGUUACUCGACUCUGUUCUUUAUUGCAUGGAGUAGUGUCGCAAGGCAUCGCUUAGUAUUUUUAUUGCUUUUAGAUGUAGUAAUUGGGUAAAACUGGUUGCGAAACCUAAGGGAUCACAGUAAAGUAUUAAGUGGGGUUCCAGUUCAUUUACUUUGAGUAAAUUAGAGUGUUCAAAGCAGCCUGUAUGGGCAUUGAAUAGAUUAGCAUGGGAUAAUAGAAUAGGAUUCUUGUCUAUUUAUUGGUUUAUUAGGUUAGUAAUAAUG
rnacentral:rRNA from 1 species